AGCCCCUGCCACCCGCCCGUACGCCACCCGCUCCUAUCCUGCAGCAGAUCUAGGGUUAAUGGUGAGUUUGCCCCACGCUGGCCACGACACUCCGGCAACCAGGACGGCGACGGCGUCGACGGGAUCUGACGGGAGCGUCCUCCUGCGGCCACUCGCGAACCUACCGGUCCUCUAGGGUUUGAGCCACCGCGUCGCCGGUGUGGCUCCGGUGACUCAGGUGACCCCCUCCACUCCUCCAUCGCAUCUCCCCCUAUCUGCCUCACCAUGUUCCCUCUCCCUCUCAGAUCCGUCGUCGCUCGAGCACCGGGAUGCCAUGGACGGGAUGGCCAUUUCCCCCUGCUCUGACGCCACGGAGGCCGCCGUCUCCUAAUCAAACCCUAGCAUUCCUCCCCUGCCGCAGCGGUGCCGCCGAUGGAUCCCGCCGAGGAUCCCUAAGGCUGAGGGUUGCCUGCCUUUGAAGGAAUCCAUUCAAGACGCUGUUGCCCCAGCACACCGCGGUCGUGUCGGCGCGCCUCCAGUCCUACGUCGCUGUUGACUCCACCUGCUGGUGCUCCCUCUCCCAAGGCAUAUUUCAUACGUUGAACAGCAACGGCGAAUUCGAGCGGAUGAUGGAAGGCCUCAGUUUGGGGCCAAGAAAGGCGUGGACGAGGCCAUUUCUGCAAGAAUCUAUUGGCUAAUCUUGACUAGUUUUGCUCUGCUGACCGUCCAUGCUGCUGCUCUUUGUGGGUGACUGAGGUUGCAUGUUGUUCAUGAUAGGAUCAUGUGCCUAGUUUGUAAUGCUAUCAAAGGAGCUCCAUCGUGAAGAAUAUAUCACAG